AGCGAACGCUGGCGGCAGGCUUAACACAUGCAAGUCGAACGGAUCCUUCGGGAUUAGUGGCGGACGGGUGAGUAACACGUGGGAACGUGCCUUUUGGUUCGGAACAACACAGGGAAACUUGUGCUAAUACCGGAUGUGCCCUUCGGGGAAAGAUUUAUCGCCAUUAGAGCGGCCCGCGUCUGAUUAGCUAGUUGGUGAGGUAAAGG
rnacentral:rRNA from 1 species